AUUUCAAAUAAACAAACAAAAUGAAUUUGAGAGGUUAUAAGUGUUUGCAAGUGUCACCGUGGAGACCAGAGAAUGGAUUGUCACCAUGGAGACUUGCAUAAACACUGCCUGUAAUGAUUUCUAUGUGGAAUCAGAUAUAGAAGAGAUUUGGGAAGGAGGAUAUAUAAAUGGAGCUGGCAAUAAGUAUGGCUGGAGUGAGUUGUGCGGGAAGACUGGGGGAUGCUAAAGUAAGUUGACAGUUUGAAAUGUUUCUCAACUCACCAUUGCUCCAUCAGCGAACAAGAAAAAACCUUCAGGGAAAAAUCCCCACAUCCUAUAAUAUUACAGGAUUGGAGGAGACCUAUCAUGUCCUAAAACAUAAAAGAUGAUCAGAUAAUGUUUGAUUGAAAGAAUUCAUGGAUAGGGUUGUACAAGCUUCACUGCACUGUGGAGGACAGCCAGUUCUCAGGGCUUAGUUCUCUGCGUAACCAGUUUUGUGUUUCUGUUUCUUCCCCGAAGAAGUGGGUGUUGGGAAUCAAGCCAAGAAGCUGUAGCAGGACAAUUGAUAUACACAUGAUGACUAUGGCUCUUCCUGACAGUAAGAUCCUCUAGAUCUGUCUAAGGUGGUGUCAUGAUCCAGAAUUCAUUUUGAACUGAACAUUCAUGGCCUAUAUUGAAAAAGCUACAUUAAUUUCAUAAAGUUGGGUCAAGUAAGGAUAAAAGGAGAAGAUUGAAAGAAAAUAAAAUUUAUUUGGAGUAAUAAGCCUACAGAUGAUUAAGAGUUCUUCAGGAAAUGAUAUAUGCCGAUUGAAAGGCACUCAUAUUGUUUUCUGGACUAAACCAGGUUCAUAAGUAUUACAGUCAUAUAUUUUAAUUGAACAUUUUUAGGCUUCCAUUAAGUUUGAGAAAUUAAAUAAGCAGU